rnacentral:lncRNA from 1 species
UUUACUGGAAAAAAGAAACACUUGGGCUAAGCUUCGAUUUACUUUUAAUCGUUGAGGCACUCCCAAAGAAUCGAGUAGAUGCUAUUUUCAAACAUGUGGCAUGUGACUCUAUGAUGAUGUGCAGCUCAAUUGUGGCUGUUGGGCCAGUAAAGCCGAAGAAAAAGGAUGUUUGAUUUGUGCUGCUUUUUAUUUCGGGGAGGUGGUCCAAGUAGGAUGAUUGAUUAUUGUGUUGACAUAACACUAGAAAGCAAAGAAAAAGAUUUGUGGAGAGUGUCUACUGUCUAAGAGUUUUAGGGUGGCCGUAUUAAUCAUCUUUAGGACUUUAUCACCAUUUCCGCCUAGUGAGUUUAGUUUCAAAGUAGCCCUGAUGAUCUAGACCCAUGAUAGCCAUCGGUUUAGACAGGAUAUAUCACUUAGCGAUGGCUAAGUGGUGAUUGUGGUGGUGGGGACAUAUGUUUUGUUUCCGGCGGUCAUGCGCAAACACCAACAAAGGCGAUGGAGGGGACUUGAGUGGUGUGAUUGGUUCUGGUAGUCAUCCUCCAACACCGUAAAAGAGAAGGUGGUGGGACUUGGGAGGUCAUGCCCAUGGAUAUGUUGCUUUGUUGGAAAUAGCUUUUUGAUUUUUUCUAUCAUGUUACCUUUGAUUUUCGUAGCUAUAUUCAUAUCACUCACGAAGUAAACAUAAUGUUUACUACGAUCGGGUGUGCUCACAGUUGUGAUACAAAACAAACAAUGAUGAUUUAGUUGAAGGAAUAUGUUGAUCAUCCGUCCAUAGUUAUAUUUUGAUGCUAUGCGUAUUUUUUAUGAACAAAACUAAUUUC